GCCAUGCGCGGUGGCGUGUGCCUGUAAUCCCAGCUACUCGGGAGGCUGAAGUGGGAGGAUCGCUUGAGACCAGGAGUUCUGGGCUGUAGUGCGCUAUGCCGAUUGGGUGUCUGCACUAAGUUCAGCAUCAAUAUGGUGACCUCCAGGAGCGGGGGACCACCAGGUUGCCUAAGGAGGGGUGAACUGGCCCAGAUCAGAAAUGGAGCAGGUCAAAACUCCCGUGCUGAUCAGAAGUGGGAUUGUGCCUGUGAAUAGCCACUGCACUCAGCCUGGGCAACAUAGCGAGACCCUGUCUCAA
rnacentral:SRP_RNA from 1 species